AUACCAGCACCCCGAGUGGUCGGGACGUUUAUUGGGCCUAAAGCAUCCGUAGCCGGUUCUACAAGUCUUCCGUUAAAUCCAGCUGCUUAACAGAUGGGCUGCGGAAGAUACUAUGGAGCUAGGAGGCGGGAGAGGCAAGCGGUACUCGAUGGGUAGGGGUAAAAUCCGUUGAUCCAUUGAAGACCACCAGUGGCGAAGGCGGCUUGCCAGAACGCGCUCGACGGUGAGGGAUGAAAGCUGGGGGAGCAAACCGGAUUAGAUACCCGGGUAGUCCCAGCUGUAAACGAUGCAGACUCGGUGAUGGGUUGGCUUCGCGCUAACCCAGUGCCGCAGGGAAGCCGUUAAGUCUGCCGCCUGGGUAGUACGGUCGCAAGACUGAAACUCAAAUGAAUUGGCGGGG
rnacentral:rRNA from 1 species